GCGGCGCAGGUGGGAGCUGCGGGGCGGGAGCCGUGAGGGGAGGGGGAGCUGCGAUAAAAAGGGAUAAAAGGUGCGGGAUAAAGGGUAAAGGAUGCGGCAGCGCGGCCGGCACUAGCUCUCGGGACAGCUGUGGGAGCUGGCGGCUGAGCCCGCCGCACGGGAGGACACGGCUGCGAGACGCUGCUCCCGCUUGCCCUGGCGGCCCUGCUCCCUUCAUCCGUCCUGCACCCGCCGAGCGGGCCGUUCCCUGCCCGUCCGUCCGUCCGUCCGUCUGUCUGUCGUGCCCCGUCCCGCAGCCUCACCGAGCGGGUGCUUCAGGCCUGGCAAGCGCCGUGCCCGCGGCUGGCGUGUGGUGACAGUUGCUUGGUUAAAUAAGAUCUCCUAAAGAUAACGUUCUUUAAUCUCCAGAGAUGACAGCUGUUGCAGUGCUAGAGGAGGUGCUGGUGUCCAUUGAGAAUGAGCUGCAAGCAGUGGAGAUGCAGAUCCAGGAGCUUGUGGAUAAGCAGCAGGAACUCCUUCAAAAGAAGAUGAGGGUGAAGAAUCUGAUAAAACAGUCCUCAGGAGACUUGGAGGCAGGUGGAAGUAAAGACACUGAAACCUCAGCUGAGGAAUGGAACAAAAAAGAUUUUCCAUGGUAUGAGAAGAUAAAAACUGCACUGCAGAGCAAAUUUAAACUCCAGAAGUUUAGAUCACUGCAACUUGAAACAGUAAAUGCUGCAAUGGCAGGGAAGGAUAUAUUUCUUGUCAUGCCUACAGGUGGUGGGAAGAGCCUUUGUUACCAGUUACCAGCUGUCUGUUCUGAUGGUUUCACACUGGUGAUAUGUCCUUUGAUAUCUCUCAUGGAAGAUCAGCUCAUGGUUUUGGAACAGCUUGGUAUCUCUGCAGCUUUAUUAAAUGCCUCAAGCAGCAAGGAACACGUGAAGUGGGUCCACACGGAAAUGCUGAAGAGGAAUUCCCAGCUGAAGCUCAUUUAUGUGACCCCAGAGAAGAUUGCAAAGAGCAAAAUGUUCAUGUCCAAGCUGGAGAAGGCUUACCAGGCCGGGUGCCUGGCUCGCAUCGCUGUGGAUGAGGUGCACUGCUGCAGUCAGUGGGGCCACGACUUCAGGCCUGACUACAAGUCUCUUGGUAUCCUGAAAAGACAGUUUCCCAAUGCUCCCUUGAUUGGAUUGACAGCAACAGCUACCAAUCACGUUUUAAAGGAUGCUCAGAACAUUUUGCAUGUUCAGAAGUGCAUUACCUUUACUGCUUCCUUCAACAGGCCCAACCUUUACUAUGAGGUUCGGCAUAAGCCUUCAAAUAACGAAGAUUUCAUUGAGGACAUAGUUAAGACAAUUAAUGGAAGAUACAAAGGACUGUCAGGAAUUGUUUACUGCUUUUCUCAGAAGGAUUCUGAGCAAGUUACUGUGAGUUUGCAGAAACUGGGAAUCAAGGCAGGGACUUACCAUGCAAACAUGGAUGCUAAAUAUAAAACCAAAGUUCAUAAAGGAUGGGCAACAAAUCAAAUCCAGGUUGUAGUGGCAACUGUUGCUUUUGGCAUGGGAAUUGAUAAACCUGAUGUGAGGUUUGUAAUUCAUCACUCUAUGAGCAAGUCCAUGGAAAACUACUACCAAGAGAGUGGACGUGCAGGUAGAGAUGACCAAAAAGCUGACUGCAUUUUGUAUUAUGGAUUUGGAGAUAUAUUCAGAAUCAGCUCAAUGGUGGUGAUGGAAAAUGUUGGCCAAGAGAAGCUGUAUGAUAUGGUAUCUUACUGCCAAAAUAUGAGCAAGUGUCGCCGGGUGCUCAUAGCCCACCACUUUGAUGAAGUGUGGGAUUCUGCAAACUGCAACAGAAUGUGUGAUAACUGCUGUAGAGAGAAUGCAUGUGAGAAGAUGGAUGUUACAGGAUACUGCAGGGAUCUGAUAAAGAUCCUUGAGCAAGCUGACAGCAUGAGUGAGAAACUCACCCCACUGAAAUUAAUCGAUGCCUGGUCUGGGAAAGGUGUGUCCAAGUUCAGGGUGCCUGAAGUUACUCCACCCAAGCACCCUCGAGAGGAGCUGGAGAGAAUUGUUGCCCAUUUACUGCUGCAGCAGUAUCUGAAGGAGGAUUUCAGCUUCACAGCCUUUGCUACAAUAUCCUACCUGAAGGUGGGACCCAAAGCCCGGCUGCUGAAAAACGAGGGACAUGUCAUCACCAUAGAAGGGAUAACAAACAGCAAAAGUGUUUUCAAGGUCAAACCAUCUCAAUCUUCAAAUUCAAAAGGAAGCAGAGAAAAUGCCCAGACUGGAACAAAGACUGUCCAAGAUUCAGUGGUGAAGAAAUCACAGGAACAUAAACGGCCCAGCUGUGGUCCUAACUUAAAAGCAAAGAAGCCUAAGCUUCAGGCAGGUGCAGAUGACCAACCAGUACUAAUUGACUGAGUGUCAAAGACUAAAUUUAGGAUCUAAUCAUGGUUGCUGCUCCAUGGACAAUGCAGUGUGUGCUGACCUCCCUCAAUGAACAUGAGCAUUGUGACAGCUCAGUGUCCCAGAUGGAAAGUACUGGAAAUAAUUGCUUCCUUUCCAGGAGCAAAUGUCAAGAUUAGCAAGGAAAAGUCAAGGAAGUCAGCUGCAGUUGGAUAAAUUCUUGCUCUCCUCCCUAUGUAAUGGUGAGUUCACAUCAAAACAUUACAAAAAAUAGAACAAGUUCUUCAGCAGAAGGAAUACAGGCAAUUAAUAUUAAUUUGGCACAAAGGUAAGCACUUUUUACAGCUCACAAGAAACUGUAUUACAUUCUGUCUACAUAAAUUUGGGAUAGGUUUUUAUGUUGUGUUUUUACUCUCAGUUUUUGAAGAAGGAAAUGUCUUUAAUGAUAACAGUAAGCCUUAUUCCAAGCUGCUAAAUUGAGAUUUUAAGACUGUCUUUAACAUGACAUGCUGCUGCUGCAGUGUCAGGAA